rnacentral:misc_RNA from 1 species
GAUGCAGUCAUCAGUUGAUUCCCAAUACUGUCCGAAAACCCAUUUUCGCUUUAAUUCGGCUCUCUUGAUUUCUUGCUUCUAUCGAUGGGACUGUCUUCUUGGGCUUUAGCCCUUUGCUUUCUUGUCGGUUUGCAUUCCCAUCCACUAAGUAAUCUGGUAAAAUUCGUGGGUAAUCAUGAAAAAUUUUUAAAUGAUAUUCCCGCUGCAUCAGGAGAUUUUCCGUAUUUGUGUAUUUUGAACUUGAAUGGCUAUUUGUGUGGAGGAACCCUAAUUGGACCUUCCCAUAUCUUGACUGCAGCUCAUUGUUUACACGGUCACGCAAUCACAGAAAUCAGCAAAUUCAGUGCUGUGUUAAAUUCACUUGCGAUUGACGGAAGAAGUACAGGAGCUGUUAUAAGAGGAGUAAAGGACUUUAUCGUUCACGAACAAUACAAUCCCAGCUACAAGGAUAACGACAUUGCCAUAUUCAUCCUAAGUUCGCCAGUUACUAAUCUAUCGUUCGCUACUCUUCCUACUGAUUCCAUAACAAAAGCAACAACCUUAAAAGAACCUACCACGAAAACCCCUACGACAACACCUAAACCAACAUCGGCAAAAGAAAAACAGACCAUAACAGAAAAUUUCAAAUCCACUAUCAAUCAACAAAACAUAACGACUCAAAAACCCAAUCAAGAAGUAUUUUUUACUUCAACAUUCAUACCUAAAACAACUGCAUCGACGACAGCAAAAAAUACGACUUCAGGCUCCGAUUUAGUUCCGCUUAGUAAUAUUUUCAGUAGCUUACUAGCAAUCAAGUCGACAACAACACAACGUCCGACAACUAAAACAACUAUUACGACUACACCACAUACCUCAACAAAUGCCAUUUCAACAAUUGCAACGACGACAGCAGAAAAUACCACGUCAGGCUCUGAUUUAGUGCCCCUUAGUAAUAUUUUUAGUAGCUUGCUAGCAAUUAAAUCGACAACAACACAACUUCCGACAACUAAAACAACUAUUACGACUACAAUGCAUACCACAACAAAUGCAAUUUUAACAAUUGCAACAAUAUCAGAAAAUACGACGCCAGGCUCUGAUUUAGUGCCCCUUAGCAAUAUUUUCAGUAGCUUACAAGCAAUUAAAUCGACAACAACACAACGUCCCACAACUAAAACAACUAUUACGAAUUCAACGCAUACCACAACAAAUGCAAUUUCAACAAUUACAACAAUAUCAGGAAAAACGACGCCAGGCUCUGAUUUAGUGCCCCUUAGCAAUAUUUUUAGUAGCUUACAAGCAAUUAAAUCGACAGCAACACAACGUCCAACAACUAAAACAGCUAUUACGACUUCAACGCAUACCACAACAAAUGCAAUUUCAACAAUUACUAUGACAUCAGAAAAUACGACGCCAGGCUCUGAUUUAGUGCCCCUUAGCAAUAUUUUCAGUAGCUUACAAGAAAGUAAAAUGACAACAACACAAACCCCCGCAACAGCUUAUAAAACUACGGCGAAACCCAACACCAAUAAAACAUCAAAAACUAAAACAACAAUUGCAACGACGACAGAAGGAAAACCAACUUCAGACUACAAGUUGGUGCCCCUCAGCCAUUUUUUCAGUAGCACAUCUGCUAAAAGUGCUUUUAGUACUUUUGCGAAUAUCCCGGCCGUUAUAACUGGAUGGAAAACAACUUCUCUAGAAGCUUUUCAAAGGUAUUACUGAAAGCGGACGUCAUAAUAAGAGACAACUCCUUCUGCAAAAGUCAAUAUGAUAGUUUUUUUAUCGGCACUCAUAUGUUGUGUGCCUCCGCUUCCAGCGCACACACUUGUCAGGAUAUGAGUGGUGGUCCC